rnacentral:tRNA from 1 species
UCCCCGAUAGCUCAGCUGGUAGAGCGGGUGGCUGUUAACCACUAGGUCGCAGGUUCGAGUCCUGCUCGGGGAGCCA